rnacentral:rRNA from 1 species
GACGAACGCUGGCGGCGUGCUUAACACAUGCAAGUCGAACGGAAAGGCCCUGCUUGCAGGGUACUCGAGUGGCGAACGGGUGAGUAACACGUGGGUGAUCUGCCCUGCACUUCGGGAUAAGCUUGGGAAACUGGGUCUAAUACCGGAUAGGAGCCAUCUUUAGUGUGGUGGUUGGAAAGUUUUUUCGGUGUAGGAUGAGCUCGCGGCCUAUCAGCUUGUUGGUGGGGUAAUGGCCUACCAAGGCGGCGACGGGUAGCCGGCCUGAGAGGGUGUACGGCCACAUUGGGACUGAGAUACGGCCCAGACUCCUACGGGAGGCAGCAGUGGGGAAUAUUGCACAAUGGGCGCAAGCCUGAUGCAGCGACACCGCGUGGGGGAUGAAGGCCUUCGGGUUGUAAACUCCUUUCGCUAGGGACGAAGCUUUUUUGUGACGGUACCUAGAUAAGAAGCACCGGCUAACUACGUG